CUGCCGCCGGCGACCGGCGCACGGGUGAGUAACACGUAUGCAACCUGGCCGUGACAGAUGGAUAACCGGGAGAAAUCCCGCCUAAUACAACAUAAUGCCGGGAGGGGACAUCCCCUGCCGGCCAAAGGGGGCGACCCCGGUCACGGAUGGGCAUGCGGCGCAUUAGGUAGUUGGUGGGGCAACGGCCCACCAAGCCGACGAUGCGUAGGGGUUCUGAGAGGAAGGUCCCCCACAUUGGAACUGAGACACGGUCCAAACUCCUACGGGAGGCAGCAG
rnacentral:rRNA from 1 species